AGCGAACGCGGCGGCGUGCUUUACACAUGCAAGUCGGACGGCAGCAUUGCUUCGGGCAGAUGGCGAGUGGCGAACGGGUGAGUAAUACAUCGGAACAUACCAUGAAGUUGGGGAUAACUCAUCGAAAGAUGAGCUAAUACCGGAUAAUCUCUGAGGAGGAAAGCUGGGGACUAGAAAUGGCCUGGCGCUUUUUGAGUGGCCGAUGGUCGAUUAGCUAGUUGGUGGGGUAAAGGCUUACCAAGGCGAUGAUCGAUAGCUGUUCUGAGAGGAAGAUCAGCCACACUGGGACUGAGACACGGCCCAGACUCCUACGGGAGGCAGCAGUGGGGAAUUUUGGACAAUGGGCGCAAGCCUGAUCCAGCAACGCCGCGUGAAUGAAGAAGGCCUUAGGGUUGUAAAGUUCUUUUAUUUGGGAGCAAAUCUUAGAUGUGAAUAGCAUAUGAGGAUGAGAGUACCAAAAGAAUAAGCACCGGCUAACUACGUGCCAGCAGCCGCGGUAAUACGUAGGGUGCGAGCGUUAAUCGGAAUUAUUGGGCGUAAAGGGUGCGUAGGCGGAUAUAUAAGUUAGAUGUGAAAAGCCAGGGCUUAACCUUGGUCGUGCAUUUAAGACUGUAU
rnacentral:rRNA from 1 species